CCAGAGUACGAGGUCUGGUCUACAGCAUGAAGUCACACAGUGACAGGAAGGAAUAGCUGAGACUUGGAAAAGUUUCCUUAUGUCAUCCAUCUUCCUGCCUAUGUGCUGUAGAGAAAAGAUCAUCUAUGGGCCUCUAGUAAAACCAAGAUACUCUGAAGGCAUGGACAACUACUGGUGAUUCUUCCAAUGCCGAGCAGGACUAUCCUCCAGCCUCAGAUGCCGAAUUCAUGACCACCAGCUGUCAGAUCCUCCUCCUCUCCAGGAAGCUGAUUGUCAUCUAUCAGCACUUUUUCUCCUCCAAGAUGCUGACCAACAUCUCAGCACCCGUCUGUCUUCUCCAGUAUGCUGACCAACAUCUCAGCACCUACAUAGUGCUAUCAACAUCUCAGCACCUGUCAUCUACAGAAUGCUGACCACCAUCUCAGCACCUGUCAUCUACAGAAUGCUGACCACCAUCUCAGCACACUUUGUAUUCAGAGAGCUGAUCAUCCUCCAUCAGCUCUUCUACUGCUGGACAUCAUCUAUGCCACCAUUCUCCACAAAACUGUCCACCACCUAUCUGUACCAUCUCCAAAAGCUGACCACCAUCUGUCAGCACCCUUCUUCAAAAGAUUUACCAUCAGCUCAGCUUUAUCACGUGUCAUCAUU